rnacentral:rRNA from 1 species
GACGAACGCUGGCGGCGUGCCUAAUACAUGCAAGUCGAACGCUUCUUUCCUCCCGAGUGCUUGCACUCAAUUGGAAAGAGGAGUGGCGGACGGGUGAGUAACACGUGGGUAACCUACCCAUCAGAGGGGGAUAACACUUGGAAACAGGUGCUAAUACCGCAUAACAGUUUAUGCCGCAUGGCAUAAGAGUGAAAGGCGCUUUCGGGUGUCGCUGAUGGAUGGACCCGCGGUGCAUUAGCUAGUCGGUGAGGUAACGGCUCACCAAGGCCACGAUGCAUAGCCGACCUGAGAGGGUGAUCGGCCACACUGGGACUGAGACACGGCCCAGACUCCUACGGGAGGCAGCAGUAGGGAAUCUUCGGCAAUGGACGAAAGUCUGACCGAGCAACGCCGCGUGAGUGAAGAAGGUUUUCGGAUCGUAAAACUCUGUUGUUAGAGAAGAACAAGGAUGAGAGUAACUGUUCAUCCCUUGACGGUAUCUAACCAGAAAGCCACGGCUAACUACGUGCCAGCAGCCGCGGUAAUACGUAGGUGGCAAGCGUUGUCCGGAUUUAUUGGGCGUAAAGCGAGCGCAGGCGGUUUCUUAAGUCUGAUGUGAAAGCCCCCGGCUCAACCGGGGAGGGUCAUUGGAAACUGGGAGACUUGAGUGCAGAAGAGGAGAGUGGAAUUCCAUGUGUAGCGGUGAAAUGCGUAGAUAUAUGGAGGAACACCAGUGGCGAAGGCGGCUCUCUGGUCUGUAACUGACGCUGAGGCUCGAAAGCGUGGGGAGCAAACAGG